rnacentral:rRNA from 1 species
CGUAGGGUGCAAGCGUUAAUCGGAAUUACUGGGCGUAAAGCGUGCGCAGGCGGUUUCGUAAGUCUGUCGUGAAAUCCCCGGGCUCAACCUGGGAAUGGCGAUGGAGACUGCGAGGCUAGAGUUUGGCAGAGGGGGUAGAAUUCCACGUGUAGCAGUGGAAUGCGUAGAGAUGUGGAGGAACACCGAUGGCGAAGGCAGCCCCCUGGGUCAAAACUGACGCUCAUGCACGAAAGCGUGGGGAGCAAACAGGAUUAGAUACCCUGGUAGUCCACGCCCUAAACGAUGUCUACUAGUUGUUGGGUCUUAAUUGACUUAGUAACGCAGCUAACGCGUGAAGUAGACCGCCUGGGGAGUACGGUCGCAAGAUUAA